GAAGGGGAAGGGUUUCAUUCAAUAGUAGUAAUAUUUUAAAAUAGAUGUUUCUAAGAAUUGUCACUUUUUAACUUCUCUGCUAUUAACAUUAAAGAAGAAAACUCAUUACAACGUUUUUGAAAUGCAGAUCUUGAAUCUAGAAUCCUUUUUACAUAUUUAUGCAUAAGAAGAAAAAAAGUGAGAAGUGACUAAUGCAAAUAUUAUAUUUUUCUCUUUGUGAUUCUUUUGUGAAAGUAUCCACUCUAGCCUCUUUUUUUUUUCUUUCUUUUUAUUUUUUCCCCCCAAGUACUUAAUAAAACCAUUAGUUUAAUGAAACAGGUUUGUCUUAGAGGUAGCUGGUCUUGGAAGGAUCUCAAGAGAGAAUGAGAAGAAUUCUCAACAAAAACAAUCACUAUGACCAAUUCAGAGAUGUCUCAUUGUUUCACAAUCUAUGAACACUAAAAAGAUGCUGUUGACUGAGAAAUAACACUACAGUACUGAAUUAUAAAGAUACUGGAAAUGACAAUUUCCAGGUGGAAUAAAAAAGGAAAGAUGUUGAAGUAUACCCUUGACACAAUAAGUUACCAUUUAAGGUAAACAUUGUUACCUGGACUUUUAGAGGAACAUGAGAGAAGAAAUUACAGAAAUAAUAUAUGCUAGCAAAAAGAUGUGUUUUUUGUCCAUAGAAUAUUCAUCAUGGACCUUUGAACAUUUCUUCUCACAGUGUGUAUAUCUUGAAUAUACACUGAAGACUCAAAGGUUGCCUGAUACAGUACUGAGAAUGGAUGAAAAUUUGUGUGCUUAUUCAGGCAUUGAAAUUAAGAUCCUAAAAAGAAGCCUUCUUCACAUAGCAGAAAAUGACUGCUUCUGAGAAUCGGACACUAUGACCCUCUGCUGCUGUUGUGUAACAUCUGUGCCUGGCUGCUUCAUGGACUGGCAUACCAGU
ensembl:lncRNA